rnacentral:rRNA from 1 species
CCUACGGGGGGCAGCAGUGAGGAAUAUUGGUCAAUGGACGAGAGUCUGAACCAGCCAAGUAGCGUGAAGGAUGACUGCCCUAUGGGUUGUAAACUUCUUUUAUAUGGGAAUAAAAUGUUCCACGUGUGGGAUUUUGUAUGUACCAUAUGAAUAAGGAUCGGCUAGCUCCGUGCCAGCAGCCGCGGUAAUACGGAGGAUCCGAGCGUUAUCCGGAUUUAUUGGGUUUAAAGGGAGCGUAGGUGGAGUGUUAAGUCAGUUGUGAAAGUUUGCGGCUCAACCGUAAAAUUGCAGUUGAAACUGGCAGUCUUGAGUACAGUAGAGGUGGGCGGAAUUCGUGGUGUAGCGGUGAAAUGCUUAGAUAUCACGAAGAACUCCGAUUGCGAAGGCAGUUCACUGGACUGCAACUGACACUGAGGCUCGAAAGUGUGGGUAUCAAACAGGAUUAGAUACCCCUGUAGUC